rnacentral:rRNA from 1 species
GGGACCUACCCCGAGGACAGAGAUAGCUACUGGAAACGGUAGGUAAACUCUGAUAAGCCCGAGAGGGGAAAGUGGGAGUCAGCCUUGGGAUGGACCUACUAUCCAUCAGGUAGUUGGUGAGGUAAAGGCUUACCAAGCCGAUGACGGAUAACCGGUGUGAGAGCAUGUACGGUCACAAGGGCACUGAGACACGGGCCCUACUCCUACGGGAGGCAGCAGUGGGGAAUAUUGGACAAUGGGCGAAAGCCUGAUCCAGCGACGCCGCGUGAAGGAAGAAGUCCUUCGGGAUGUAAACUUCUGAACUAAUCGAAUAAGAGGGUAGUGGACACACUACAGAAGAAGGUAGAUUAGGAAAAGUCCCGGCUAACUACGUGCCAGCAGCCGCGGUAAGACGUAGGGGGCGAGCGUUGCCCGGAAUCACUGGGUGUAAAGGGGACGUAGGCGGAUGAUCAAGUCAUCUGUGAAAAGAUUGCUCAACGAUUGGCUUGCGGAUGAAACUGGUCAUCUUGGGCGUAGCAGAGGUAGACGGAAUUACCUGAGUAGGGGUGAAAUCCGCAGAUACAGGUAAGAAGGCCGGUGAAGAAGUUGGUCUACUGGGCUACAGCUGACGCUGAGGUCCGAAAGCCAGGGGAGCGAACCGGAUUAGAUACCCGGGUAGUCCUGGCUGUAAACGAUGCUCACUAGGUGUAGGGAGCGAAAGACUCUCUGUGCUGAAGCGAACGCGCUAAGUGAGCCACCUGGGGAGUACGUCCGCAAGGAUGAAACUCAAAGGAAUUGACGGGGGUCCGCACAAGCGGUGGAGCAUGUGGUUUAAUUCGAAGCUAACCGAAGAACCUUACCAGGGAUUGACAUGUA